rnacentral:rRNA from 1 species
UACAGAGGCCUCAAGCGUUGUUCGGAUUCAUUGGGCGUAAAGGGUGCGUAGGUGGCGCUGUAAGUCGGGUGUGAAAUUUCGAGGCUUAACCUCGAAACUGCAUUCGGUAUACUGCGGUGGCUUGAGGACUGGAGAGGAGACUGGAAUUCUGGUGUAGCAGUGAAAUGCGUGAGAGAUCAUGAGGAAGACCAGUGGCGAAGGCGGGUCUCGUGGCGAGUUCC